CCGACUUUGCUCCGGUAUCGCGCAGCUUGUUGGCCUCCGGGUCCCCCGUGCCAUGCCCCCGGGAGGCUCUCCACAGACACCGCUUGCGCCGAAUUAUACGAGACUGAAUGGGUUUUUUUGGUGUGUGUGUGCAACACAACAAUUUGUCAGCUGCUGUUCACAAUGCGCUCCGCCGGGCGGUGGAAACUUGGCUGCGGUAACGCACAGCAGGUUGGAGGGCACGACCCGGAAGGAAGGAAGAGGCGAGGAGGGAAAGGCGGCGACCCUAGGCCCGCUGGCCAGCCGUUUCCAGCAUCAAUUCAGCACUGAGCCGGCCGCAGCAGCACAGGGCUGGGGGCUCCCGGAGCUGCGGCCAGCCGGGGUUUCGGCCAGAGCCGCGGAGGCUGCCCGGUGGUAGGUGCGACUCUUCACCUCUCCGGGGAGCGGCGGCCGACGACCCAACCCACCCGCAGCGCUGCCGUCGGCCCGGCUGGUCCCCCGCGCGGGCACAAAAACAGGCGGCAGUUCGCCAGCUCUCUUUUCCCAAACCUGAACCGCCAAGCCGAAGGUUCUUCCAAAGUCGCGGUUCCCCGGGCUUCACACCCGCCGGGCAGGCGCGAACCAGCCCCAGGACAACCAUUUUCCUCUUCACUGUAUCUGAGUCGUUGUCCAUCUGACUCGAAUGUCACCUGAUUUUCCCAGCUGUGACCUCCAGCGACGGGACUCCGAGGAACUGAUUCCAGCGUCUCGAUUCUCUCCGCCUCUCCGCCCGUUUUGGCUGAAGCGGUUUGCAGCCGUCGGGGCAGAAGGGGUGGGAUGUGGCAGCCACCAGCCCCAGCCCAGAGAAGAAAAGAGGACGAAAUUAACGCGAAAGGACACCGGAAGUCUGAAAGCGACUCCCUCGGAUCCUCGGAAUCCGAGGCAAACCCUAACACUAGUUUGAAAGCGGAUCAUAUCCACUAAUCCAGGACAAAUUCGGGUUGGGAAACAUACUCCCCAGAGCCUAAGAAAACUGACUUACAACAAAACAAAACUGACAAGGACAAAAUGCAAAGGAGUUUGUGAAACGUAAUUGCUCUCAGAAAAUAUGUGUAUAUAUAUACAUCCUAUAAUAUGUUUUAAAUUUGCAAAAAAAAAGUCUCUAAGAGGAUAUAUUUUUAAAACCAGUGGCAGCUUGGGAGGGAGUGGGGAUUAGCUGAGAAGGGGAGAAGGAAGCAUUUUUGAGGUGACGUAAAUGUUUUUGUAUCUUGAUUAUGGUGGCUGUUAUGGGGGUGCACAUCCAAGUGUCAAGACUCAUCGAACUGUACACUUUUGUUCUAGGUACAUUAGACCUCAAUAAAGUGGAUUUUAAACCUAAAUAAGCCAGGUAACAGCUUUGCCUGGGUGGCUGGGGGAGAGGCUUGGGACACUUUACAUUGAUCUCCCUCUUAGGCAUGUUCGUUUUGGUUUGGUUUUGUUCUUAUGAUGUAUUAUUUAUUCAAAAAUAUAUCAUUAGCAGAGUGACUGAUGUAAAUGUAAAACCAUUGUUAAGGAAACCAACAAAAGCGGGAACAAGAGACACUGGUGCAUCCUGUUAGAGGGAUAAGAAUAAGCACUCGCUGUCCAAGCUCAUAAAAUAUUUUGGAAAUGAAUGUCGUUCCGCUUUGUUUUUUUGGUUUUUUUGCUCAUGUGUUUAACAUCAACGAGAAAUGAGGACCCAAAACUUAUCCAGUGGUUACGUGUGGUGUGUGUGGCUGUCAUCUCCUUGGGACUGGCUACUGAAGGCCACAGGCGUGGGAGGACCAAAUGCUCCCUGGAUGUUGAGUCCCAGCCGGUAAGCAGCACACAGUCCCGCUUGCAGCAAAGAUGUGGUGGCCGGCUGCGCUGUGGGGGAAGGCCAGGCCCGGACAGGAACCUCAGAUCUCACCGGCGGAUGAGAGUGGUGCCCCCUGCAGCUGGAGUCCCUGCUGGCCUGAGAGGCUCCAGGCUGUGCCACCGUUGGGCAGACCCCACACUUCAGGGAGCUGCCAGGAUCAGUGGCUACAAGAGUCCCCACCGUGUUUGGAGAAACUAGGCCUGCAGUCGGAAUAAGAGGAUCCGUGACGAGAUCCGUGAGAGCGCCUGGCACACCCCGUGGGCACUGAACAAGCGUGGAAAUGAGAAGGAUUUGGUGCCAGCUGAGCCACCUGAAUGAGGCGAGUCCCGAGGCAGGAAAAAUCCGGUGCCGCGGAGGCCGCCUGGACUCUUCCGGAGCCAAGGGCGAGGUCGGCGGCCCUCAGAGUCGCCCCCCGCCCCCAACUCCCGGCCAGGAAGGAAGCCGGGCGGCGGAGGGGCCCAGCGCGGAGGCGGAGGCGGAGGCGGAGGCGGAGGCCGAGGCCGGGAGUCCGGCGCGCAGCCGGAGCUGCUCAUCCAUCAGCCGGACGAAGAGCAGAGUCGCGCUCUCGGCCCUCUGUUUGCUUUCUCGCCAAUUAUUGCAGCGCCGCAGCCCCUUUGUUGAUACAGUAGUCCGAAAAAGUGCUAAUGUUCAUUUAUCAGGGGGCCAGCCGGGGACUCCCACGAGUUGCGAUUCUUCCCAAAAUAUAAACAUGGGGCGAGCGUCCCAGACAGAAACUCCCAUCUGUUUCCCCCGCGCGGGCCGAGAGCGAGGCGUUGUUGAAGAUAAAGCCGCGGAUAACGCCGCCUGUCUCCAAUGGACGUCUCCCCAGCGCAUUAAUGACAUUCCCGGUGAUAGUUCCAGCUUAUCUUUCAAUUAAUCAUAUAUACCUUUUGCGACCAGCCCUGCUGAUUGCACGAAAGGGGGGCCGGCUCCGGCUGCGCCGAUCGCUUUUCAAUUAAUAAUAAUUUAUUCACGGAGAAUGCGCUCGAGCCACCCUGGAAUUUGGAUUAUCUUAAAGCACCAACUCUUUAAAAGUCAAGGAAAUACACAGAUAGAUUUUCGAUCUCUUCUCUCUCCUUUUGUCUCUCUCUGCCUUUCUCUAGGCUGAAGGCUGUUUGUUUGUCCUGCUAGUUUGGUCAAAGUGCGGCGCAGAGAGGCGGCCAGGUUGGGUCAGCGGCCCUUGGGAAAAAAAGAUGUGUCCCUGUUGGGGGCCAGAGAAUCAAGUUUCCUCCCACCCAACCCCCAACUAUUGCAAUUUCUAUUUAGAUCUAUUUAGAGGGAUUUUUUUUUAACUCACUCGGAAACAGUGAGGACUGGAAAGAAAAGCUGCAAAUGGCUCUCGGACUUUCCUCUAAGGAGACCAGCAUGGGUCGCCCCAAUUUCUAUUUUGCACGUAUUUGUCCGUUUUUGCCCCAUCUCCUCUCUCCUGCAACACCAAGACCUUUUUGGAAGCCAAGAGAAAUCAUUACCCGAUUCACAAAGAGCAUAGAGAGUGUAACAGUCACUGAUCUUGUUCAAAUAGGGAGAGUUUUUUUUCCUUCCCUUUUUGUAACACCUGACCCACAGGACUGACAGUUCUAGGAAGCCCCCUUACCCGAAAAUAGGAAAUAAAUCCUUGCCACCUUGAUUUGCAAGGGCAAUGCUAAUUUUUUUCUUUCUCCAGAGCUCUCAAAAAAAAAAAAAAAAAAACCUUACUAAAAACAGGGAUCCCGGAUGUAGCCUCGAUGUCCCCCAUUAAACGGUAAUAUUUCAGGCGUCCGCUCACACUAAUCUUUCAAACUGUCAUCGCGAGCCGCCUGGCCAGCAGAUUCACUUAACAGCGCUCCCAGGACCCUCGUUCCGAGCUCUUUUCAGCGAGACAUUUAAUUGAAUCGGAUGUGGCUCGUUUGCCAGACGUCACCGCCUCGGCGAUAGGCAUCCUCUCCAACGACACCCCCCCCCGCCCGCGCUCGAAAACAAUCUUCAAAGGCAAGGCGGGCCCCCAAGCUAGGUUAAUUUACAGCCAUAACGGUAACGUGGCCAAAAGUCCAGGCGAGGAAGGGCCGCAAGGCCGCUGACAUGCAGCUCCGUCCAAGGAGAAUUUGGGUUGGGAGGUGAAGAGGUGGGGGGACGAGGUUUCCUGGGCCUUGAACGCCCCACAUUUAAGAAAAGGCAUCCUCCACAGACUAGACUAACAAUUCCAGACCCCCAGUAGUCCCUGGCUCAGAAACUCGAGGCGUGAUUUCGGCGUGGCAGCCCAGGCCUGUUACUGACGGCUGGCGCCUAGAAGCCGGGGUCAGGGCGUUGCGCGCCUCCUGGGCUGCCCUGCGGGGCUCACCUCUCUCCCCAGCAUGGAGGCCCCAGGUCCUGGGAGUGUGGCUUUGAUGAGGGACAGGAAAAGUCCCAACAUCAGGCCAAUGCUUGACUUCACUUGCGUCGGCGUCUCAGACGGCACACUGUCGGGUUUGAGCACCCAAGAUGUACGUUCUGGACAGACACUAUUUUGUCCCCAUACAUGGAGCGUUUCCUCCGCACCUUGGGCGCGCCUGCGGGAGCUGUGUCUUUAGGUAGUUUUUGGCCCUGCGCCGCCUUUAUUCUACUCCAAGCGCCUC
rnacentral:lncRNA from 1 species